ACCCGAAGGAUAUGACACGAAAAAUCUAACUUGAAAAAUAACAAAAACAUAGAAGUGUAAUUUCUAAGGCUUACUACUUUUUUCGGGGAUUAUUAAAAAAGUAUUUCCAAAUAAAUAUUAACUAAUUUUAAUACAAAAAAGUUUCUAAGAAAAGUACAGUAUAUUGGUUGAGAAAAAUGCAAAAAAUUUUAAGUCAUUUUAAAAUGUGUAAUUCUAAGACCAUUUCAAUUGUAUUACUUUUUUGGAUUGCUACCUCACAAGCUGUUAAAUGGAAUGGCAACUGGGCUAUGGAUUGUGAUUUUCCUGAGCAUGACUUGGCUAAUGUCACAACAAAACGACCUGAGUGUGGGGGUAGAUGCUCCUCCACACCCAAGUGUACUCAUUUUUCCUGGAGCAGCUAUAAUGGUGGAACUUGCUGGAUGAAAUAUGGGACUGUCUCAAAACCUGAUGCGGUAAAUAGUGAAAAAGACAUGAUGUGUGGAAUUAUUAUUAAAAAAACUAUUGAAUGGAAUGGCAACUGGGCUUUUAAUUGCGACUUCCCUGAACAAGAUUUGGCUAAUGUAACAAUAGAAUCACAUGAGUGUGGGGGCAGAUGCUAUUCCACAUCUGAGUGUACUCAUUUUUCUUGGAGCAGCUAUAAUGGAGGAACUUGUUGGAUGAAAUAUGGGACUGUCUCAAAAUCUGAUGCUAUAUCUAGCGAGCAAGGCAUGGUGUGUGGAGUAGUUAAAGAAAAAGGUAUUGAUUGGGUUGGCAGUUGGGCUAGCAAUUGUGAUUUCCUUGAGCAUGACUUGGCUAAUGUUAAAAUAAAACGACACCAAUGUGGAGGCAGAUGCUCUUCUACACCUAACUGUACUCAUUUUUCCUGGAGCAGCGAUAAUGGAGGAACUUGUUGGAUGAAAUAUGGGACUGUUUCUAAGUAUGAUGCAAUAAGUGUCAAGAAAGACAUGAUGUGUGGAGUAAUAUAUGAAAAAGCUAUCAAAUGGAAUGGCAACUCAGCUAUGGAUUGUGAUUUCCCUGAGCGCGACUUAACUGAGGCCAUAAUAAAACAACAUGAGUGUAGUGGCAGAUGCUCUUCUACACCAGACUGUACUCAUUUUACAUGGAACAGCUUAAAUGGUGGAACUUGUUGGAUGAAACAAGGGGUUGUCUCAAAAUCUGAUGCUAUAGCUAGCGAGAAAGGCAUGAUAUGUGGAGUAGUUAUUAAAAAAUCAUUAUCUAAAACAUCUAUCAUCACUGUUGCGGUUCUUGUUCCUGUUGUUAUUGUACUUGCUGUUGUUAUUGCAUUUCGAAUCUGUAUUAAAAAAAAAGUUCAAUUCCAAAAAACUAAUUUGCAUCUUAAGCAAUUACAAAACGAAAACAAAAACGGUUAUUUAACAGACAACUGGAAAAUUUCUCCUAAUUACAUAAUUUUUAAUAAAAAAGUUGGUCAAGGAGCAUUUGGUAAUGUUUUUAUUGCAAAAAUUAGUUCCAGUGUUCUUGCUAAAACUUGUUAUGCAAGUCAAACUGGUAUGAUUUUACAUGGUGUAAGAGAAGAUUCUGCUGUUAAUGUUGCAGUAAAACUUUUAAAAGAUGAUGCAAGUCAAUUGGAGAUUAAUGAUUUUGGUAAUGAAAUUAAUCUGAUGAAAGGUAUUGGGUAUCAUAAGAAUAUCGUGAAUAUGAUUGGUUGGUCCACAGUUAGGAAUCAAUUGUGUUUAGUAGUUGAAUUUAUGGAAAAUGGAGAUUUGUUAAAUUUUUUGAGAAAUAGACGAACAAAACUUAUAGCUUCAAUUUCGGAGGGAGAUUCUUCAAAAAUUAUGUUUACACAGAACUACCAAAAAUUGCUUGAGAAAACAAGUUUAGUGCACGAAACUACCCUAGUUAACACUGAGUCCAUGACACCUAAUGACUUAAUUUGUUUUGCGUGGCAAGUGGCAUCGGGAAUGGAAUACCUUUCGCUUAUUAAACUGGUACACCGAGACCUUGCUGCAAGAAAUAUCUUAGUUAGCGCUGAUAAAAAAGUUAAAGUAUCUGAUUUUGGUUUAACACGUCAAGUCAACGAUGACUUGAAUUAUACGAGCUGUACUCAUCGCCGUUUACCAGUUAAAUGGAUGUCAGUUGAAGCAAUAUUUGACCAAAAGUUUACGACAUACAGUGACGUGUGGGCGUAUGGCGUUGUUUUAUUUGAAAUUGUAACGCUGGGAGGAACUCCUUAUCCUGGAUUAAGUAAUUGUGAGCUCCUUGCUCGUUUAAAAACUGGUUACCGAAUGGAGCGACCGGAUAAUUGCUCUCAAAUCAUGUAUGAUCACAUGUUACAUUGUUGGAAUGAAGAUCCAUUAAAACGACCCAGCUUUACCGAGUUACGCGAGUUGUUUGAAGAAGUGUUAUGUCGAGGUGGACAUUAUUUUAGCUUUGAAAUCAACGAAAAAAAUAACUAUUAUAGCGUACCAUCAUUCAAUAGCAUUUCUUCUGAUACAAACGAUAACUUACAAGAAAAAGAAUUUUUACAAAAGCCUGUUUAUUCGGUCGAAGAAAUGAACUAAAAAGUUUAUGAAGUUAUGGAAGCUUAAUUUUACUUAUUCAAGAAGGAUGAAGAAAGAACGUCAAACAAACUGGUUUGUGAUGAAAGGACAUCGAACAAUCUGAUUUGUAACACCUUUGUUUUCCUCGAAUAUGCGUACUUGACAAUUUAUUGUUUUAAAGCGCCACGUUAGAGAAAAAUAUUUUGUUGGAAUUUGCAGAAUCGUCGUCAAACGUUAAAUAGAAAUAGCUAAAACCACUUCAAUAAUAAAUAAAACGUCAAAGACAUUAAAAAGAAGCCACAAAUGAUCAUACAACAACAUCAAAUAGGAAGUUAGCAAUUAUUAUUGUUUAUUUUUUUCGAUAAUUUUUCCUAAAAGAGUUUCAACUAUAGACAUUUUUACACUAUUUUCACUGUUAAAAAGUGUUUCAAAAUUUUUAUUUCUUGUUACCAUGAGGCGUAAUUGAUUUUAAGCGAUUCUUUAAUCUGUGUUUUUCUCGCUUAACGUUACACCUUUAGAUGUGUCCAGUUAAACUUGCCAUCACAUUCUCCACAAUGUUUAGUUGCACCGGAUGACUUUAACAUUUUAUACUAUUUAUUUGAUUUUUAUGAUUUUUGUAUAUUUUCUAUGUAAUGUUUGUAUAAUAUUUAUUUGUUAUACAGUAAAUUAUUUUUUUUAAAUGUUGUAAAGUUAUUCAUAUUAAUUUUAUUUUAUAAUAGAAAAUGUUUUGAAAACGAAUAAUGGCAAUUAUAGAUUUAAAAGUAUAUAAAAAUUUUUU
rnacentral:misc_RNA from 1 species